GGGAAAUAAUAUUACAGAGGAGAAAUUUGGCAAACAUUACUUCAGCCAGUUGAUCAAGGUUAACAUCCAUCAGUGAUAAGUCAUAUUGAUUGUAUGU